rnacentral:rRNA from 1 species
AAUGAACGUUGGCGGCGUGGAUUAGGCAUGCAAGUCGAGCGAGAACCCAGCAAUGGGGGACAGCGGCGCAAGGGACAGUAAUGUGUAGAUUAUCUGCCCUCAGGACCGGGAUAGCUGCGGGAAACUGCAGGUAAUACCGGAUAACAUCUCCGGAUCAAAGGUGUGAUUCCGCCUGAGGAUGAGUCUACAUCCUAUUAGCUAGUUGGCAGGGUAAUGGCCUACCAAGGCGAUGAUGGGUAGCGGGUGUGAGAGCACGACCCGCGUCAUUGGGACUGAGACACUGCCCAGACACCUACGGGUGGCUGCAGUCGAGAAUCUUCGGCAAUGGGCGCAAGCCUGACCGAGCGACGCCGCGUGUGGGAUGAAGGCCUUCGGGUUGUAACCACUGUUAGAGGGGAUGAAAUGCAGGUGGGUUCUCCCAUCUGUUUGACAUAGCCUCAGAGGAAGGACGGGCUAAGUUCGUGCCAGCUGCCGCUGUAAUAC